GCUCUGUCCGCAAGGCUCAGUCCAUACAGCGAAUGGUUCCUUCUGGAGGAACAGAACCACUGAACUGGGGUCCUCUGCCUUGGGGGUGGAAUGAGGGUCUGACAGAACCAGAAGCAUAGAAUAUCGAGAAAAUGCUAUUUCUUGCACACUAGAUCUGGAGAUCUGGAGAUCUGAGUUUCAAACCCAUCUCAUUCUCCUUGCAAAACCUGUGAGCAGCCCAGCAGGAUGAGAGGGGAAUUACCUGUGUCUGGCUUUGCCCAGGGUGGAGGACCUGGAAGCUUCACCCCUGAGAAGGUGAAUCCAGAGAUUCAUUACAGACCACCUGAACACGUGACUGUGAUUUCAAUGCCAUACCUUGACUUGCAGCACUUUAAUUCAUCAUCAUGAUUAGCGAGCGUGGCACUGUGGUAUCCAGGAGGGACUUGGACCCAACCACACACUUGCCGAGGAGAAAGAACAACCACCCAGGUGCCCAGCGGUGGGGUGUAUUUGUUGCAGGACGUACUGCCCAGCCACCUACAUCCCAGUGAAUCCAUCUCUUCUCUAGUCGGUAUCUGCUGGGAUGCGUCUAGAACAAUCUCCCUGAAGACGUCAUUUCGGUAUGGCCUGGACUCGAAGCAGGCCUGUGAGUGGGGUGCAUGCUCUGCUCUCUGUGGCUGUGUCAACUUCAAACUUCUUUAUGUUUGGACACAGAAAAACUACAUCAUUAGUGAAAUAAAACAAGGGACAGACAGAUGCGUCUUUUUCUCAGGAGGUCGUGUUUGAUUGACUAAAACAGCAAGGAAACUUUUAUUGGGUCUGGCCUCCUGUGCAUUCUACACAAUGUGGGCCGUUUUUGUCACAGCCCGGGGUGUUCACCAUCUUUAUUUCUACAAGAGCUCCCUUUGUGUUCUGCCCUCCACUUGCCUGGGUGCUCACAGGGGAGGCUGAGGGUGCAGCAUGGGUCCUUCCUGCCCUGUCUCUGCAUUCACACUAUAAAAGGCACUCACAGAGCCACCACCACAGCCCCAAACUGCAAUCAUGAAAUAACACCUGCACUGGAUCAGGGGGCUAGAAGAGAUGAAAGACCGAUGGACUGUCACUACACCGUGCUGGGAUCUCUGCCUGCAGCAUGAGGCACCACAUGUGUGGGCUGUGGGAGCAGGUGUGACCUGUGGGCUGGGGCAUGAGACUCCCCACUGGGGAGACCCCAUCCCCUGCUGGACCAGCUUCCUCAGCAUCACCAUCAUGGACAGACUCCACUUUGCUCGUGGCCC
rnacentral:lncRNA from 10 species